UACGUAGGGGGCAAGCGUUGUCCGGAAUUAUUGGGCGUAAAGCGCGUGUAGGCGGUUUGGUAAGUCCGCUGUAAAAGUCCAGGGCUCAACCCUGGAAGGCCGGUGGAUACUGUCAGACUAGAGUACGGAAGAGGCGAGUGGAAUUCCUGGUGUAGCGGUGAAAUGCGCAGAUAUCAGGAGGAACACCAAUUGCGAAGGCAGCUCGCUGGGACGUAACUGACGCUGGAGACGCGAAAGCGUGGGGAGCAAACAGG
rnacentral:rRNA from 1 species